CCUACGGGGGACAGCAGUGAGGAAUAUUGGUCAAUGGGCUUACGCCUGAACCAGCUAAGUCGCGUGAGGGAAGACUGCCCUAUGGGUUGUAAACCUCUUUUGUCAGGGAGCAAUUGGCGCUACGUGUAGCGUUAUCGAGAGUACCUGAAGAAAAAGCAUCGGCUAACUCCGUGCCAGCAGCCGCGGUAAUACGUAGGAUGCGAGCGUUAUCCGGAUUUAUUGGGUUUAAAGGGUGCGUAGGCGGAAUGCCAAGUCAGCGGUAAAAUCGCGGGGCUCAACCUCGCUCCGCCGUUGAAACUGGCGGUCUUGAGUGGGCGAGAAGUAUGCGGAAUGCGUGGUGUAGCGGUGAAAUGCAUAGAUAUCACGCAGAACUCCGAUUGCGAAGGCAGCAUACCGGCGCCCAACUGACGCCGAAGCACGAAAGCGUGGGUAUCGAACAGGAUUAGAUACCCCAGUAGUC
rnacentral:rRNA from 1 species